GAUGAACGCUGGCGGCGUGCCUAAUACAUGCAAGUCGAGCGAACAGACGAUGCGCUUGCUCCUCUGACGUUUGCCGCGGACGUGUGUGUCACGCGUGUAUAAUCUACCUAUAUUACUGGUAUAACUUCGGAAAACCGGAUCUAAUACCAUAGAAUAUAUUGCACCGCAUUGUUCAAUAGUGAAUGUCGGUUUUGCUGUCACUUAUAGAUGGAUCCGCGCCGCAUUAGAUAGUUGUUACGUUAACGGCUUAGGAAGGGAAGUAGGCGUAGACGAAGUGAGAGAGUGAUAGGCCACACUGGAACUGAGACACGGUCCAGACUCCUACGGGAGGGCGCAGUAGGGAAUGGUACGCAGUAGGCGAAAGCUUGACGGAGCAGCGCCGCGUGAGUUGUGAAGGUCUUCGGUUCGUAAAACUCUGUUACUAGGGAAGAACAAAUGUGUAAGUAGAUAUGCACGUAUUGACGGUACCUGAUAAGAAAGCCACGGCUAACUACGUG
rnacentral:rRNA from 1 species